AGCGACUGUGCAGGUUACCGCGGCUGCUGGCACGGAGUUAGCCGGUGCUUCUUCUGUGAGUGAUGUCCUUCCUGCCGGCUAUUAACCCGCAGGCCUUCUUCCUCACUGAAAGUGCUUUACAACCCGAAGGCCUUCUUCACACACGCGGCAUGGCUGGAUCAGGGUUGCCCCCAUUGUCCAAUAUUCCCCACUGCUGCCUCCCGUAGGAGUCUGGGCCGUGUCUCAGUCCCAGUGUGGCUGAUCAUCCUCUCAGACCAGCUACGGAUCGUCGCCUUGGUGAGCCGUUACCUCACCAACCAGCUAAUCCGACAUAGGCUCAUCCGAUAGCGCGAGGCCCGAAGGUCCCCCGCUUUCCCCCGUAGGGCGUAUGCGGUAUUAGCCUGGGUUUCCCCCAGGUUAUCCCCCCACUACCGGGCAGAUUCCUAUGCAUUACUCACCCGUCCGCCGCUCGCCACCAGGGAGCAAGCUCCCCGUGCUGCCGCUCGACUUGCAUGUGUUAGGCCUGCCGCCAGCGUUCAAU
rnacentral:rRNA from 1 species